AUACGUAGGGUGCAAGCGUUAAUCGGAAUUACUGGGCGUAAAGCGUGCGCAGGCGGUUUUGUAAGACAGUGGUGAAAUCCCCGGGCUCAACCUGGGAACUUCCCUUGUGAAUGCAAGGCUGGAGUGCGGCAGAGGGGGAUGGAAAUCCGCGUGUAGCAGUGAAAUGCGUAGUAAUGCGGAGGAACACUGAUGGCGAAGGCAAUCCCCUGGGCGUGCACUGACGCUCAUGCACGGAAGCGUGGGGAGCAUACAGGAUUAGAUACCCUGGUAGUCCACGCCCUAAACGAUGUCAACUGGUUGUUGGGUCUUCAUUGACUCAGUAACAAAGCUAACGCGUAAAGUUGACCGCCUGGGGAGUACGGCCGCAAGUUUGAAACUCAAAGGAAUUGGCGGG
rnacentral:rRNA from 1 species